GCUAAUUUGGCAGAAAAGUGCUUUAAACUUAGAAUUUAAAAAUGUAAAUAUUUAUACUACAGUUAGUA
rnacentral:tRNA from 1 species